CUUGGCAGUCAGAGGCGAUGAAGGACGUACUAACCUGCGAUAAGCUGUGAGAAGUCGGUAAGAGACGCUAUUACUCACAGAUUUCCGAAUGGGGAAACCCACCCGAGAUAACUCGGGUAUCUGUUACUGAAUACAUAGGUAACAGAGGCGAACCGGGAGAACUGAAACAUCUAAGUACCCCGAGGAAAAGAAAUCAACCGAGAUUCCCUCAGUAGCGGCGAGCGAACGGGGAUUAGCCCUUAAGCAUCUUGGAAGUUAGUGGAACGGUCCUGGAAAGGCCGGCGAUACAGGGUGAUAGCCCCGUACACGAAAACAACCUUGAUGUGAAAUCGAGUAGGGCGGGACACGUGACAUCCUGUCUGAAUAUGGGGGGACCAUCCUCCAAGGCUAAAUACUCCUGACUGACCGAUAGUGAACCAGUACCGUGAGGGAAAGGCGAAAAGAACCCCUGUGAGGGGAGUGAAAUAGAACCUGAAACCGUGUACGUACAAGCAGUGGGAGCCCUUCGGGGUGACUGCGUACCUUUUGUAUAAUGGGUCAGCGACUUACAUUUUGUAGCGAGGUUAACCGUAUAGGGGAGCCGUAGGGAAACCGAGUCUUAACUGGGCGUCUAGUUGCAAGGUGUAGACCCGAAACCGGGUGAUCUAGCCAUGGGCAGGUUGAAGGUUGAGUAACAUCAACUGGAGGACCGAACCCACUAACGUUGCAAAGUUAGGGGAUGACCUGUGGCUGGGGGUGAAAGGCCAAUCAAACUCGGAGAUAGCUGGUUCUCCCCGAAAGCUAUUUAGGUAGCGCCUCGGACGAAUACUACUGGGGGUAGAGCACUGUUUGGGCUAGGGGGUCAUCCCGACUUACCAACCCCAUGCAAACUCCGAAUACCAGUAAGUAAUAUCCGGGAGACACACGGCGGGUGCUAACGUCCGUCGUGAAGAGGGAAACAACCCAGACCGCCGGCUAAGGUCCCAAAGUUCUGGUUAAGUGGGAAACGAUGUGGGAAGGCUCAGACAGCUAGGAUGUUGGCUUAGAAGCAGCCAUCAUUUAAAGAAAGCGUAAUAGCUCACUAGUCGAGUCGGCCUGCGCGGAAGAUGUAACGGGGCUCAAACCAGGCACCGAAGCCGCGGAUUCA
rnacentral:rRNA from 1 species